CUUUUGGUUUGCUUCUAUCCUCUACUAGAGCUCUCUCUCGCUCUCUCUAUCUCUAUCUUUCCCUCUCUUCGUAGAACAAGCUCAUGUGAGCUAGAUCUGAUGUCUCUUUUUAUUUCUAUCUAUGUGCUUUUUCUCUCUCUAUUCGACGAGAGCGAGCUCAUCUGAGCUACAUUUGAACAAAACCCACUGGCUCUUGCGAAGAUUUCAUAGUGUACUCGUGAUUCUGUGUAUAUUUCUCUGAUUUUAUAUAACUCUCGUCCUCUCUUCUCGAUUUUUGCAGUUUUGAGCUAGAUCGGGUGAAUGCACUACUCUCUUGGUUCCAACAUCAUUUAAUUUGCAAAAUCUAAGCUGCUACCUGGAUAUCUUGUCCGAUUUCUGGGCUUUCUCAUGUUUUUUAGAACUUUAGAUUCUAGGAAUUUCUAGAAUAAACAAUUGGAACAAGCCUGUAAAAUCCGUUAGAAAAUAGGGGUAUAGCUUGAUUAAUGAAGAUUAGAAGUGAAAGUAGUGCUAGCCACAUAAGCUACAAAAGCAGUAGCUGGAAGGAUCAAGUUGUAUGCAGCGGCACUCUUGGAGCUCUUGGAAUUUCUGGUGUACUCUUGGCUACUGCUGGAGGUAUUGGAUGGCAUGCUUUAGAUGUUUGAUGAUUAUACUGGAUAACAAAGUGAGUGGGAUAAGAUUGGCAGUGGACUAAUGAAAGACAAUGCUUGGCAUCAUUGUGCUGAUGCAGUAUCCUCCUUCGUUGCUCUCAUAGGAGUUGGUAAUGACCUUGUACUUAAAAUUUACCUAAUUAUGGCUGGAGAGAUAAAUUUGUUCUUUUAGAAAAUAAGUUUUACCAUUUGAUUUGUCUAAUUGUGUCAUUGAGAACUAAACAAAGUGUGUGUAUGGGAUUGCUGUUGAGCAUAAGAUGCUAAUUUGUAUUGUGGUGUUACUAUUAGUUUGGCCGAGCAUAAUAAUGAGUUUUUAUAUUUGUACUAUUGUUUAACUUUUUUAUGUGGAUAAUGUGCUUUUUGCAUU